rnacentral:rRNA from 1 species
UACAGGGGGGUGCAAACGUUGCUCGGAAUCAUUGGGCGUAAAGCGCACGUAGGCGGUUCGUUAUGUCGGAUGUGAAAGCCCUUGGCUUAACCGAGGAAGUGCAUCCGAAACUGGCGAGCUAGAGUACUAAAGAGGAUCGCGGAAUUCCUGGUGUAGCGGUGAAAUGCGUAGAUAUCAGGAGGAACACCUGUGGCGAAAGCGGCUCACUGGACCAUAACUGACGCUGAUGCACGAAAGCUAGGGGAGCAAACAGG